rnacentral:rRNA from 1 species
GACGAACGCUGGCGGCGUGCUUAACACAUGCAAGUCGAACGGAAAGGCCCGCUUGCGGGUACUCGAGUGGCGAACGGGUGAGUAACACGUGGGCAACCUGCCCUCAGCUUUGGGAUAACUCCCGGAAACGGGUGCUAAUACCGGAUAUUGACUUUUCCUCGCAUGGGGUUUGGUUGAAAGUUUUUCGGCUGAGGAUGGGCCCGCGGCCUAUCAGCUUGUUGGUGGGGUAAUGGCCUACCAAGGCGACGACGGGUAGCCGGCCUGAGAGGGCGACCGGCCACACUGGAACUGAGACACGGUCCAGACUCCUACGGGAGGCAGCAGUGGGGAAUAUUGCGCAAUGGGCGAAAGCCUGACGCAGCGACGCCGCGUGAGGGAUGACGGCCUUCGGGUUGUAAACCUCUUUCAGCAGGGACGAAGAGUGAUUGACGGUACCUGCAGAAGAAGCACCGGCCAACUACGUGCCAGCAGCCGCCGUAAGAC